rnacentral:rRNA from 1 species
UACGUAGGUGGCAAGCGUUACUCGGAAUCACUAGGCGUAAAGCGCAGGUAGGAGGUUUGAUAAGUCUGUUGUGAAAGCUCCCGGCUUAACUGGGAGAGGUCAACGGAAACUGUCAGGCUGGAGUGCGGUAGAGGUAGCUGGAAUUCCCGGUGUAGCGGUGAAAUGCGUAGAUAUCGGGAGGAAUACCUAUGGCGAAAGCAGGCUACUGGACCGUCACUGACUCUGAUCUGCGAAAGCUAGGGGAGCAAACAGG